UUGUUGAAGUUCAAAUGUUUAUUGUUGGCUAUGCUGUGUUUGUUUUCUUUGCACUACUUCUUACAUUAGGAACCACCUUUAUCAUUUAUGCUAAAGGAAAGGAAUCCAAAAUUUGAAACAUGACGUUGAAGGAAAUUAAAGGAAAGGAAUCCAAAGUUUGAAACAUAAUGUUGAAGGAAACUAAAGGAAAGGAAUCCAAAGUGCUUUGAUGUUGCCAUAUACCAACCCCACUACACUAAUAAACAUGAUGUCUGCCAAAUAUAAGUAGCUGGAAAGCAAAUAAGUAGUACUACUCCACAUCCUUCACGUGCCAUUAUUCUCUUCAAUAAAAAACCAAGCACAGAUUAUAAUAUGUAAUGCUUAAGUUAGUAUAAAUAGGGAGAGAGAUUUGUUAUUCUUGCAUCCUAUCAUUUGAUUUUACAAACUCUUUGCUUGCUUGUUCAUUUUCUGCCACCUAGAGUCAUCUUUUUCUUUGUAAACAGAUAAGAUAAUCAAUCUGCCUGUUUAUCUAUGCUUAUAUAACCCGCGUAUUGGUUAAAAUUCACUUUUGGCUGCUCAGACAAGAUAAUCAGACUACCUAAUCAGCCACAAGUGGAUUUUACCGGUAUUCGAGUUAUGUAAGUAUAGAUGAAAGGCAAAGGAAGACAAUUUUUUUAUUAUUUCGCAGAGGUGGAAGAUCAAAUGGAGGGUUAAAUAAAUUUCUGGUCUUUUGCUAAUAUCUAUAUGUGGUUUGAAGGCACCGCAUGAGUUUUCCUACCCACAAGAAGGGUUGCAGGUUGAACAAUAGAGUAUGCGGCAUACUCACAUUUGUAGCGGUCAAGGGAGCUGGUCACUCUGUUUCCUACCCAGCAAAUAAACAAAGAAAGCAUCAUAGAAAUCUUAAUUUAACCAUUGUAAAUGCGUGGUUACUAUUUACUUGUUUAAAUACAAUCUCGUCAAAAUUGUGUUCGUUUCUUA